GACCCCAGGUCAAGGCGGGGCUACCCGCUGAGUUUAAGCAUAUCAAUAAGCGGAGGAAAAG
rnacentral:rRNA from 1 species